GAUGAACGCUGGCGGCGUGCCUAACACAUGCAAGUCGAACGGAGAUUACGGACGGAAGUUUUCGGAUGGAAGACUGUAAUUCUUAGUGGCGGACGGGUGAGUAACGCGUGGGCAACCUGCCCUAUACAGGGGGAUAGCAGCUGGAAACGGCUGGUAAGACCGCAUAAGUCGGCGAGACCGCAUGGUUUUGCCGGGAAAUGAGCAAUCAGGUAUAGGAUGGGCCCGCGUCCGAUUAGCCAGUUGGCAGGGUAAAAGCCUACCAAAGCAACGAUCGGUAGCCGGACUGAGAGGUCGGACGGCCACAUUGGGACUGAGACACGGCCCAAACUCCUACGGGAGGCAGCAGUGGGGGAUAUUGCACAAUGGAGGAAACUCUGAUGCAGCGACGCCGCGUGAGUGAAGAAGUAUUUCGGUAUGUAAAGCUCUAUCAGCAGGGAAGAUGAUGGCGGUACCUGACUAAGAAGCCCCGGCUAACUACGUG
rnacentral:rRNA from 1 species